UACGAAGGGUGCAAGCGUUAUUCGGAAUCAUUGGGCGUAAAGCGCGCGCAGGCGGAUCAACAAGUCAGGUGUGAAAUCUCGAAGCUCAACUUCGAAACUGCGCCUGAAACUGUUAGUCUAGAGUGUCGGAGGGGGUAGGGGGAAUUUCACGUGUAGGGGUAAAAUCCGUAGAGAUGUGAAGGAACACCGGGGGCGAAGGCGCCUACCUGGACGACUACUGACGCUGAGGCGCGAAAAGCGUGGGGAGCGAACAGG
rnacentral:rRNA from 1 species